GUUUAGGUGGCUCACGCAUGUGCCCUCUGAUUUGUGAGAGUAAACAGUAACUUCAAGUCAAAGGAAGGAUGGCCUUCUUGUCCCUGAGUGCUUGGUGCUUGGCCAGCCCUGGUAAGUGCAGUGAAGGAUAGACAUACCUUCAUUCUGAGUCAAACAUGAUUCCCAUAUGCACACUAUGCUUUAGGACCUGGUCCGAAUCAAAAGGGACCUUUCCAGAAACUAGGUCAUCAGGUCGAGGCUCCAAACACUUGAUCACCAGCUAGGUGUAGGAACCCCUUACCUCCAAAUCAAUGGUGCUUCUCUUUCCUGAGAGCAAGGACAGGAAAAACUACCAAAUCCAGCAUUUCCUGUUUCUCAAUGAACAAUGCAGACCUCCUGCAGAAUUUCACUCGUGGGUGUCGCCAAUGGAGACUUCCUUGUACACUAGCCCUCAGGUCUUUUUUACUCCCCAGACAGCAUUCCUGCCAGGAGAUAGGAGUAGGCACUGCUUUCUAACUUUAGCCCAUUCUCUUCUGUAAUGAAGACCUUUGGUGCUCAGGUUGCCUAUUGGCUUUGUAUUGCUCUUGUUUUCAAGGUACUUUCGACCUGGGAGCCAUUGAGAGCACGAGCCUCUGAAGAAUGUACUCUGUUUGAACUAGAAUAUUGCAGGAUCCAUGGGUCUGUGUCAGGUACACAGCCCAGGUGCAAACAUUGGUGUGGAGUUCCCAGUCAGUUCCUGAGCCUAUUGACAGCACUCAGUGUCUGGUAUCCCAGAGUUCACUUCUCCCAGCCCUCGUUUGCAAGAUGAACGUGCUCUCACAUGUGUACCCUCAGAUGAAAUGGAUAAGCAUGAUAUGAUGUGGGGAAGAAAGCCAAGGAUAACCUAAAAUGAGGAUGCUCUGAGUCAAGAUCCUGGCCAGUGUACACUAGGCCUGGAAGAAAUGCAGAGGUUGGUACUAGAGCUGAGUGGCCUUGUCUAUUCAACUAUCAUUAGGGUUACAUGGGUUUAAAAUAAAUACUUCUUGCCCUGAGCA
rnacentral:lncRNA from 1 species